rnacentral:tRNA from 1 species
GGGGGAUUAGCUCAGUUGGCUAGAGCACCUGCUUUGCAAGCAGGGGGUCAUCGGUUCAAGUCCGAUAUUCUCCA